rnacentral:snRNA from 1 species
AUACUUACCUGGCACAGGAGUGACUUUGAUCAAGAAGGAAUGUCCUCCCAAGGUGAGGCCCCGGCAUUGCACUUGGCUGAGGUUGACUCUUCCGAUUCCCCCAAAUGUGGGGAACUCGGGUGUAAAAUUUAUGGUAGCGGGGGACUGCGUUCGCGCUAACCCCUA